rnacentral:rRNA from 1 species
CGUAGGCAGCAAGCGUUGUUCGGAGUUACUGGGCGUAAAGGGUGUGUAGGCGGUUCUUUAAGUUUGGUGUGAAAUCUCCCGGCUCAACUGGGAGGGUGCGCCGAAUACUGAGGGACUAGAGUACGGGAGAGGAAAGUGGAAUUCCUGGUGUAGCGGUGAAAUGCGUAGAUAUCAGGAGGAACACCGGUGGUGUAGACGGCUUUCUGGACCGACACUGACGCUGAGACACGAAAGCGUGGGUAGCAAACAGGAUUAGAUACCCUGGUAGUCCACGCCCUAAACGAUGCAUAUUUGGUGUGGGCAGUUCAUUCUGUCCGUGCCGGAGCUAACGCGUUAAAUAUGCCGCCUGGGGAUACAGUCGCAAGGCUG